rnacentral:rRNA from 1 species
AUUGAACGCUGGCGGCAGGCCUAACACAUGCAAGUCGAACGAGAGUCGGACGCGUGAGUGAUGUCUGGGAAACUGCCUGAUGGAGGGGGAUAACUACUCGAAAAGGUAGCUAAUAUCGCAUACCAUCAGAUGUGCCCAGAUGGGGUUAGCUCGUAGGUGGGGUAACGGCUCACCUAGGCGACGAUCCCUAGCGGGUCUGAGAGGAUGACCAGCCACACUGGAACUGAGCAACGGUCCAGACUCCUACGGGAGGCAGCAGUGGGGAAUAUUGCACAAUGGGCGCAAGCCUGAUACAGCCAUGCCGCGUGUGUGAAGAAGGCCUUCGGGUUGUAAAGUACUUUCAGCGGGGAGGCGUUACCCGCAGAAGAAGCACCGGCUAACUCCGUGCCAGCAGCCGCGGUAAUUC